rnacentral:tRNA from 1 species
GGGGUUGUGGCUCAAUGGUAGAGCGCUCGCCUGGCACAUACGAGUCACUGAGUUCGCUCCUCAGCACCACA